rnacentral:tRNA from 1 species
GGGUAUGGCUCAGUGAUAGAGCAUAUGCUUAGUAUGCACAAGGUCCUGGGUUCAAUCCCCAGUAUCUCCA